CUGGCAACAUGCGAGGGAAGACAAAGCUGUGGCACUAGCAAGACCGUCCUGGACACCCUGAGUUUUCAGAAGCUGGUUACACAAUCCAGUCUCUGAAAUAGAGUAAGGUGGGGAGCCAUAGCCCUGGCCGGUGUCACCCGGGAUCUACAGGUGCCAACAACAGAAACCCAGUCUUGCCAUUUAAGUGGAAAUGACCUGGCCUCUGGUUAUAGGGACCACAGACCCCUGGAUGGGCCACCGAGCCUGGCUCACACGCAUCACCCAGCACCAAGGAGACCAUGGCAGCCAUCGAACCCCGGUGUCACCCCCGGGACGGAGUUCAGACCCCCACGGGGAAGCCCGUCUCCAGCCCAAGCCCCUGCCAUCAAAACAGAGUUGAUUUGGAUUCAACUGGAUAUGCUAACGUUUCUACAGCAGGAGAGGGUGGGUCUGUCCUCCCUCCUUCCCUCCCUGCUUCUCUUGGUCUCUGCUGGAACCAGAGGAUUUAAGAAGGAUGAGAUUAUAUCUUACUCCCUGAUUUUUGGCUCUCAAAAUCCCCUGUGAAAAAUGGAGAAGGGAGAUUCAGCCACUUUAUCGUCUUAAAGAGAUAAUUUUAAU
rnacentral:lncRNA from 1 species